AAACUGAGGAUAAUACUGGAUAGGCAAUUAUUCCUGCAAUGGUUUUUUGUUUAAAUGUUUUUUCGCCUAAGGAUGGGUCUGCGGCCGAUUAGGUAGUUGGUUAGGUAACGGCUUACCAAGCCAUUGAUCGGUACGGGUUGUGAGAGCAAGAGCCCGGAGAUGGAACCUGAGACAAGGUUCCAGGCCCUACGGGGUGCAGCAGGCGCGAAACCUCCGCAAUGUGAGAAAUCGCGACGGGGGGAUCCCAAGUGCCAUUCUUAACGGGAUGGCUUUUCAUUAGUGUAAAGAGCUUUUGGAAUAAGGGCUGGGCAAGACCGGUGCCAGCCGCCGCGGUAACACCGGCAGCUCUAGUGGUAGCAGUUUUUAUUGGGCCUAAAGCGUCCGUAGCCGGUUUAAUAAGUCUCUGGUGAAAUCCUGUAGCUUAACUGUGGGAAUUGCUGGAGAUACUAUUAGACUUGAGACCGGGAGAGGUUAGAGGUACUCCCAGGGUAGAGGUGAAAUUCUGUAAUCCUGGGAGGACCGCCUGUUGCGAAGGCGUCUAACUGGAACGGUUCUGACGGUGAGGGACGAAAGUUAGGGGCGCGAACCGGAUUAGAUACCCGGGUAGUCCUAACUGUAAACGAUGCGGACUUGGUGUUGGGGUGGCUUUGAGCUGCUCCAGUGCCGAAGGGAAGCUGUUAAGUCCGCCGCCUGGGAAGUACGGUCGCAAGACUGAAACUUAA
rnacentral:rRNA from 1 species